GUGGAGGUUGCAGUGAGCUGAGAUCGCGCCACUGCACUCCAGCUUGGGCGACAGAGCGAGACUCCAUCUAAAAAAUACAGCUGUAUCAAAUCUGCUUGUGCUUUGGCCAUCUGAGAGAUCUUAAGUGUGCAAUGCAAUGAGGAUGGAGCAACGUAUACACCAAUCAAGAGAAAGAACAUGUCCAUUACCCCAAAAAGUUCUCUUACACCCGCUUCCAGGCUAGAGUGCAGUGGUAGGAUCUCGGCUCACUGCAGCAUUGACCUCCUGGGCUCAAGCUAUCCUCCCACCUCAGCCUUCUGAGUAGCUGGGACCGCAGAGGUGCAUCACCAUACUCGGCUAAGUUUUAUGUAAUUCACUGAAACACGACUGAUAGACCCCGAAGAAGAAAAGGGCCGAAUAUUAUUUGGGUCAAGAAUACUUUACUCUCAGGAAGCAAAAACAUUCUGAAAGGUUCCAAAUGAAAGAAGACAUCUGAUGGGCAAUGUGUAAAUCACUGGACUAAUCUGAUUUUGUUAUGCACUUACACCUGUGAUUCCGGAUGUCAAAUUUCGCAAGUCCUUUAUCCCUUGAAUUUUCCUAUAAAAUACCAUUGAAAGAGGGAAAGAAGAUGGCUAGUGGACACUUUUCUACACCAUCAAUGUAGAAGGCAACUGAUCCUGAGCACACGUCUCCAUGGCGGCAGGAGUCAUUGCUUUUUAGAUCACGUUCUCCGAGCAAGAGCCGAGAAAUCGAUAUCUCUCACAAGGCUGUAGACGUGCUGGAACUGAUUAGUCAUUAACCUAUUGUCACUCCUCCCAGCGCUCAUGGAAGGAGUUGCAGCAUGUCAAUGGAUUUUAAAAGAGUACCAGGAUUAAACUUCUCCAUGGCAGUGGGCAUUUGUGAAAGGUCUGUUCUGAAAUACCAGUACCAUCUUCUCACAUGUUAAGGGCCAAAAAUCUCAGUAAGUCACUCCAAAUCAGGUUUUACAGAUGAUUUUUUGAAAUAUUGAUUCUGGUAUUGUCCCUGAAAAUUUAAUUUAUCAAAUAAGCCAAUUAAGAAGCGUCUUUUAAAGGCACGUAGGGACCAUUCAGCACUGGAUGGACAAGAAAAUGAACAUAUUAAUCUUACAGUCAGCAACGUUUUGUUGAUGCUUUGGAAACUGAACUGCAAAGGAGUACUUAAAUGAACUGAAAGAGUUAAUUUGACUUCUAAGAGCCAUAAACUGGCUUGGGUUGGGUGGAUUCUGUAUUCCCAGACUCUGGUUCAAUAAAAAUGUAAAUGUUAUCUGGGUACACAAAGCAUAUUUCAUGGCGAUAAUGAAUCUGUUGACAUACUGUUCAUACUUUAUUAUAUAAAUUUUAGUAAUGUAUUUGCCAGAGAGAAAAAUGAAUACACAGGGAAAGACUCUGUGCUCAGCUCUACAAUCUGCCCCAGGUUGGCUGGCACACGUUCGCUUCUGACCUUGGCGCAGUUUGCUGGGCUGCCUUGAUUUAAUCAAUCAGAGCCCUGUGGAUGUUGAGAGGAACACGACGGCGUCAUUGACUGAGCUAAUCUAACUGGAUUUGAAAUAGGAGCUAGAAGAUGGGUUAUUUUUAAACCAAAACCCACUGAUGCAUAAACCUAUCCUGCAGCGUGAUUGCUUAGAUUUAUAAUCGAUUAGGUGUGUCUUAGUGUGUAUGUAAUCCCUGAGAGGUGACCACAUUAGGAGGGGAUGGGCUUGAGUUCGCAGGCAGAGGAGGCCUUCUCCUUUGGCUGGCCUGCCGUAGGCUCUGCCUGCAGGCCCAGAAUGGAGUGCUGUUUAGUGUGACCUGUUACCAGCAUGGGCUUUCUAAUUUGCAAGGCCGCGGGCAAAACGGACAUGCAGAACCUUUUGAUCAAAAAUUUUGAAGAAUUUCAGGGUGGUGACAGCAGAACCUUAAACCAGCUGCACAAGUCACAGAUCCAAAAAGUCAGCCUUGCUUGCUGGGUUAUGAGGAUAGAGGGCUGCCCUCUAGCGUUACAGGAAAGAGGAAUUCUGCUUCCUGAUGUUUGCUUUUUAUUUUUUCUCCCACAGGCCCAGUUAGAGAUUCCCCAGCAGGUUUCUUUUUGCAACAAAUAAAUUGCUACAGAGUAAAUAUAUGGGAGAACCUCUUGCUCUCCAGGCCUUACCCUUGGAGUGGCAGCCCUGCUACCCAGAGACACAGAAAUGAACCAGAGGUCUCCUUUGGGGUCCCUUUAGUUUCAAGAGUCCAUAUUUCACGCUCCUGGCUUUGUACUAAAGGACGUUUUUCAUUUUACUUCAUAUGGCUUGUAAGUUAUUAUUUUGUUUCUUUUUUUCUUUUUUUCCUUUUUGAAAUACAAACUUGUGGAGAACUUUUUAAAAGGCAUACUUAGUGCAAUCGAUUCUAAAACAUGAAUACAGAAACUGUAAUGAUUGUACUGUUUCACUUUUUUUGGUAUUAAACAUAAAGCAAUGACAGAAGCCCGCAUAAAAAUAAGCAUCAAAACAAAACAAAGAUCAAACAAAGCCUCAGAGAAGCACUGACAUAUUCUUCAUUUUUAUAUUAUUUUCCUUCUAAGUCCUGUGUCUAUGAUGAUGAAAUUUAAAUUGUAGUGUUCAGGAGGAAAGGAGGAGUAGGAAUGUUGAUUUUUGUUCCUGUUUCACUUCUUGUAGCCUUACUUUUCAAAGUAAAUUGGAAACUAUUACAAGGGUCCCAGGAUCCCUGUCUUUCCCACGCCUUCACCCUGCCCCCUUCAUCCAGCACAUGGUAGGCACAUAAUGUUAGUUUAAUAAACUAAUGGAAGGAUGAGUGAAUUAAAAAAAAUUCAAAAAGAUCAAGGGCAAAAUAAUCUCCAUGUCAUUACAUUGUAACAAAAUUUCUUAAAAGUCUUAAGACUGCCUUUACCAUACAGAGAACAUAUAUAUGGUAUACAUACUGGAUAUUUAAAAGAUUCCACUUCCCCACUAGGAAGAAGGAGACAGUAAUUAAGCAUUUCCUUUUCCUCAUAAGUUUUUCAGCUCUUUUCGCAUAAACCUAAAUGACGGAUUAUUUAUUUUUUCUCCCUUCUUGAGUGGGUGAAGACAAACAUGUAUCAAUACAAGGGGUAAAGAAGCAGCAAAGAUUGAAGAGAAGAUGAAUAAUUAGUCUGUUGCUAGCACAGGAAAGGACUGGAAAUGUGCAACUCUGCCCGCCCCAGAAAGACCAAGCACACAGCCGGAGGAAGACAGAACCAACACAAUAGAAACCGUGUCCAGCUUCCCACUCAACCGUGUUUCCUUGGAAGGGAUUGGGUUCUGGAUAUUUAUACCGCGGAUUCAUCAGUGUUGUCUGUCAUGGAAGCUUGCUCUCAGAACCUUCAAAAACCUAAAAUCUGGGAGUAUAGUAAUCACAUCCUGAGGUUCAUAGCAAAGCACCGAGCCCAAAGCAUCCAGCCCAGUGAGGUUUGGUGGGAGGGUCUGAGGUUGAAAUUACCUGGGUUACAGUCACA
rnacentral:lncRNA from 1 species